CGAGGGAGGUUUGUAUAACCCAGGAGGCUUAGAAGGGAUUUUUAGGGGUUGGGGAUGGGGGGCAUGGGGUGAAAGGGGAGAGACAUACAAUUGGAAUCGCACUGUUCUAGAUAGGAGCUCCAGCAGCUCUGCACCUCAUGUAAAGAGACACGGUUUGAACCCUUUUAAGCUAAUCCGAAGGUAAUCGUAGAAAUUGUGCGUAGUGCAUCACUUUAGUUGAGCAGAAGCCAUGGGGAGGGGUGGGGAGGGGCUCGAACCACAAAUCUGUUGUAUUUUUGAAGUGCAAUAACUUGGUGUUUUUGAAGACUUAAAAAGGGCUGCACAUUCCCUUUGCGUUGAGGCGGCUUCGUUUCUGGAGGUGGUGGCAGUGACCUGCAGGACAGCCGGACGCCUGGCCCAUGAGGAGCAGCAGGGCAGGGGGGCGAGGGCCUUCGACAAAGGUGCCAGGUGGGGGAAUCUCAGUUUCUAGCCAACUACCUCGGUAAACUCCAAUUCAGGUUUCUUUCAGUCACGACCCAGUGCACGGCCCAGCACCGGCGCUGCUGGCGGCACUCCUGGCGCAGGGGGGUGAGGACAGAGCCGAGGGACGAUGCGUGGAGCCCUGCGACCACGUGUUAACAGCCUCUGGACUUCCCACUUCUCUGUUCAAGACUUUGGUUCCAGACCCAAAGCUACUGCUAUGCUCUUGGUGGCAAAACUUGUUCCUUUUGAGUUUGCAAACGGGGAACCUUUUUGACUUAUCUUAGGGAAUUGUUUGUCAUUCACUUGACGCUUCUGAACUCUCUUUUGCUUUGGACCUCGUUGGCUUUUCUCAGCUGUAGAGGCAGGAACAAAGGGUGGGAGCAGGUUGUUCUGUGGCCAUGCCCAGUGCAUCAUCUUGUGCUGCAUGGAGACCUCUGGGUGAGAGGUGGCAUGAGGGAGCUGCUGUUCCCGGCUGCCAUCACGGUCCCAACCCUCCUGCCUCCCCUUGGGCCAAAGCAGCACCAAACCCAUCCCUGCACCUGGGGGAAAGCAAAGCACAGCCAAUGUCACCUCACCAGAAAAGCCACCGAGGUCCACCCAGAGCCAUGUGGAUCCCUUGUGGUGAUGCCCAAAAGUACAGAAUUGAUUCAAAUCAACAAAAACUUGAAGGCAAAAGGGGGUUUGGGGGUGUUGAACCCCCCAAGGUCCCCUCAGCAUCCUAUGGGCGCAUCGUGGCGGGGGGCAGCCGCACCACGAGCCCCCCCCAGCGAUGCUCUCGCUUGUUCAAUGUGGACUUCCCUUUUCCUUCUCUUUUCCUUCUGUUUGUGUCUGGAGCAAUACGUUGUCAGGGCUCAGCGGGGUGGGCAGGGGGUGAGAGCAAGCGUGGGUAGGGCUCAAAGCGUUGGGGUUCGCUGUCUGAAGGUCGGUGGCUCGGUCCCUGGCUACACGGUAGCUUUAGAGUCCACUUUUUGUCCCUAAUAUUUGUGUUCUAAUUUAAUUGCUUCUUACAUUUUCCAGGCCAAGCCACUGUUUGGAAACAUCAUGGUUGUGUUACUGCUUUUUGUGUUUGAGUUGGCCAGCUCUUCCUGUACAUAUGUUUGUUUGCUUAUAUCCCCUUUCUUUCUUUUUUGUUGGUGUUUUUUUGGUUCUUUUUUUUGUAAAGAAGAAAAAAAAAAGAAAAAAAAAGAAAAAAAAGAAAAAAUACAAAAAGAAAAUUAUUUUUCUUUCCCUCAGUACACAUUCUUCAAAGUUCAAAUUAUAGUGUUUGUUAAAUAAAAAGAAAGAUUUACAUUUAACA
rnacentral:lncRNA from 14 species